GCCGAGCCGCGGGGACGCCCCCCGCCCGCGCUGCGCAGAUGGCGCUGCCCACGCUGCCCUCCUGCUGGCCCAGCCGCAGCAGGGCCCUGGAGCAGCAGAUCGUGCGGCAGCGGGAGCAGGAGGCCCGCUGGCGGCAGCAGUGGGAGCGGAACAGCCGCUACUUCAGGCAGUCCGGACUCUGCAGCGCCAAGCAGAGCCAGUGGAGCUCGCGCCGGUCCUAUCAGCAGAGCAUGAGUGCAUAUCACUGUGAGAAAAUGAAAGAGGAAAAAAAAAUCAGCUUGGAGCAGAGACGAGAACAACUUAGGAAACUUUUGUAUGAGGAGCGAGAAUUGCUAACAGCAGAACUCAGGGAGCUGAGACUGAACAAGGAGUCAGAUCUGAGCAAGAUCAGAGAGAGAAGUGAAGAUUUGAAAUCUGCUAGAGAAGAGCGUCGGAAAAAGGUGGCUGAAGAGCUGCUGUAUGAACACUGGAAGAAGAACAAUACCAAACUCCGAGAGAUUGAGUCAGAGCUCCACAGGAAGCAUGUGAUAGACGUUUGGGGCGAUCAGCUAACAGAAAAGAAGCAGCAAGAAGCAACUGAAAGAGAAGAAAAAAGACGGUAUGAAAAUGAAUAUGAACUUGCCCGAAGGGAAGCACUGGAAAGAAUGAAACAAGAAGAAGAAAAGAGGCGGCUGGAAGAGAAGAAACGAGCUGAAGUGUUACUGCAACAAAUGGAAGAACUGAAGUUCCGGGAGAUGGAGGCAACAAAACUGAAGAAAGAGCAAGAUAAUUUACUAAAACAGCAAUGGGAGCUGGAGGAGCUGGAAGAAGAGAGGAAGCAAAUGGAAGCAUGCAGGAAGAAGUUGGAGCUUGGUCGCUUUUUGAGACAUCAGUAUAAUGCCCAACUAAAGAGACGUGCACAGCAGAUACAACAGGAGCUGGAGAUGGACAGGCAAAUACUAUUAGCCCUUCUAGAGAAGGAAGAUGAGGACCAACGCCUCCACUCGGCUAGACGGGAGCGGGCUGCUGCAGAUGCUGCCUGGAUGAAACAUGUAAUUGAGCAGCAGCUCCAGUUAGAAAAGGCACGAGAGGCAGAACUGGAGACCAUUUUUAGGGAAGAAGCUAAACAAAUGUGGGAAAAAAGAGAAGAGGAAUGGGAGAGAGAGAGGAAGGCCAGAGACAGACUGAUGAAAGAGGUUCUUGCAGGCAGACUGUGUCAGAUCCAAGAGAGGAUGGAGCUAAAUCGCCAUGCCCAGCAGGAAUGUGUAAAAUACCGGGAACAGCUGAUUAGAGAGCUUGAGGAGGCAAAAGAGCUAACUCGUCGAGAGAGAGAAGAAGAGGAGGAACUAAAAACAGCUCGCAAACAAGAGUUGGAGUCCCAGCUUGCAGAGCAUCACCUCCAAAAGCAGGAAGAGUUACAGCGCCAGAAAGAGGAGGAGGAGGAAGCAAGGCUGGCAGAGCAGCAGUGGGAGGAGUUAGUGCAGCAAGAGGCCAAGCGCAUGGCUGAGCGGAGCUAUCAUAGUAAGGUAGUUCAUGGUGUUUGACAAUGGAGGUCAGCAUGCCGCAGAGAGUAACCAGCAAUUGCCUCUGAGCACAGUUCCUCUACAUCAGGAAAAGUCAGAGCUGCUCCUGAGCCCCGUGGUCGUCCAAAAACAGCGUGGACCUGAGAAGGAUUGCCCUUAAGUUCUGAGGCGUGAGCAUCAUAGCAUCAGUAUGAAGGACUCAAUGUUGCAGGCUGUGUGCCUGAUAAACAAGAUCAGGAUGGUGUGGAAUAUUUCAAAACCAAGAAUCAAGGUGCUGUCACUAUGAGAUUGUCAGGAAUAGUUCAUGAAGCUGAUGGAGAUGUGCUCAGUGCAAAUGAAGGGUGAAGUUUUCAAAAGCAUCCGGUCAAAUUUCCCCUGAAUGCUGCAGCAGCAGCAGCGGUAGGCCAAUGGAGGUUUACUUGAAAAUACUAUCCUAAGUGUGGAGAGGGCCCUACAUCAUUCCAGCUGCUUCCAGUGUUUAGAAGCUGUGAAGUGACAUGAUGUUACAUGUAAGGCAAAGUCGACUGUCCACCUGCACUUAACCAGGAAAAACAGUGGUGGAAGAAUAAAUAUGCAGACAGCUUUAAAAUAGCUGCAUGUAUUCUUGACUAACGCAACCCAGUUGAAUCAAUGAUACUAAACCACUGACUGUUGCUGUUUAUAGCAGAAAGCUUUCUUUAGCAUCAUGCCUUUUCUAUUAACCCUAAGUAAUGUUUGCUCAGAAAUCCCUCCUGUGCUUCCUUAUCCCCAUGCAUUGUAAAACAGUGUUUGUGAGAAUUGCAAUGCCACAGUGUCAAUUCCUGACACAAGUUUCAUUUAGGAUCUAGGACUUUAAAGACUAAUAAAUAUUUACUUGUCUGUUUUA